AUGACGGGCCGCCGCCGCGUCCUCCUCGCGCUGGCGCUGCUCCUCGCCGUCGCGCUCGCGCCCGCCCCGGCCGCGUCCCAGCCGCCGCCGCUCGACCCGCCGCCGUCCUGGGUGUUCCCCAACCCGCGCCUCCGGGCGGCCUACGUCGCGCUGCAGACCUGGCGCCGCACCGCCAUCUUCUCCGACCCGGCCAACUUCACCGCCAACUGGUCGGGCCCCAACGUCUGCGCCUACAACGGCGUCUUCUGCGCGCCGCACCCGGCGGACGGCGGCGUGGUCGUCGUGGCCGGGAUCGACCUCAACCACGCCGACAUCGCCGGGUACAUCCCCGACUCGCUCCCCGCGGGCCUCCCCGACCUCGCGCUGCUCCACCUCAACUCCAACCGCUUCUGCGGCGUGCUCCCCGACACCUUCCUCCACCUCCGCCUCCUCCACGAGCUCGACAUCAGCAACAACCGCUUCGUCGGCGGCUUCCCGGAGGUCGUGCUCCAGCUGCCCUCGCUCCGCUACCUCGACCUCAGGUUCAACGAGUUCGAGGGCCGCAUCCCGCCCGCGCUCUUCGACCGCCCGCUCGACGCCAUCUUCCUCAACUCCAACCGCCUCACGCGCCCCAUCCCGCCCAACCUCGGCAACUCGCCCGCCUCCGUGCUCGUGCUCGCGCACAACAGGCUCGGGGGAUGCAUCCCGCCGUCGAUUGGGAAGAUGGCCGAGACGCUCAACGAGAUCGUGCUCAUCGACGACGACCUCACCGGCUGCAUCCCGCCGCAGGUGGGGAUGCUCAGGAAGGUGGCCGUGUUCGAUGUCAGCGGCAACGACCUGCAGGGCCCGCUCCCGGCCACCGUCGCUGGACUGGUGGCCGUCCAGGAGCUCAACGUCGCCGGGAAUCUCUUGGAGGGCGCGGUGCCGGCGAGCGUCUGCGGACUGCCGAGUCUGAGGAACUUCACCUACGAGGACAACUUCUUCACCGGCCGGCCGGGAUGCGCCGUGGCGACGGCGGACGGCAGGUGGAACUGCAUCCCCGGCGCUCCCGCGCAGCGCCCGCCGGCACAGUGCGCCGCGGCGGCAGCCAGCCCGUUCGACUGCAGCAGGUCGCAGUGUCAGGAAUCAGCAGGGCCAGGCCCAGGCAAGGGAUCGCACGGAGGCCGCAGGCCGCCCACUCCGAGGGGUGGGCCGCCGAGGGGCCAUCGUCGAAGGUCGCCGCCACCGCCAGGCUGGUUUACGCCGCCGGGCCCAUUGUUCCCGCCGGGCUCGUCCACACCAUCGUCCCCGUCCCCGCCCGGUGGCUCCACAACGCCAGGAACGGCGGUGCCGCCACCUCCGACCCACAGCGAGAGCCCCGGGCACGCACUGCCGCCCUCCUCCGCACCACCACCCCAGGGCACCCCGUCUCCGUCCUCCGGCAACCAGCCGCCGUCCGCGUCCUCGCCGUCCAGUCACCAACCCACAACACCUCCCCCCGGGUACGCCCCUCCGGCCCUCACGCCGCCGACCGCGCCCACGCCAUCCUCGCCGCUGCCGCUGCCGGCCCCUGGUCCCUGGGCACCACCCCCUCCACCAGGCGGCGAAGGCGGAGCGCCAUCCUCUCCACCAAGCGGCGGAGGCGGGACGCCACCGGUUCACGGCAUGCCAUACUCGUCCCCGCCACCACCACCAACGACAGUGCCGUUGCCCCCGGUCCACGGCGUGUCAUACUCGUCGCCGCCGCCGCCGCUCCUCCCGCCGGUCUACGGGGUGUCCUACUCGUCGCCGCCGCCUCCAAUGCCGCUGGUCUACGGGGUGUCGUACGGGUCGCCGCCGCCACCGACGGGGCCGUAG
rnacentral:rRNA from 1 species